AUAUUUUUUAUUAUUUUUUUAUUUUUUAUAAUUAUGGUGAGAAGAUCCAACCUACAAAUUGAAAUUAAAUAUCAAAACUAAAAAGAGAAUUAUAAAACUAAAAGACAAAUAUUAAUAUAUUUCAAUUCAAUACAACACAACCAACACCAAUUCAGUCCAUAAUCCAAGCAAUGGAAAAACAACCAACACCAAAAGAAAAACAAGGCCAAUUCAGUUCAUAACACAAGCAAAUGAAAAAAAACAAAAGAAAGCCCUAUAUAUCUAAACUUGACACUUCAAAGUUCACUUCCAUCAACUUCAUCAUUGAAUAAAACAGCUUCCAUCUCUGGCUCAUCAAGUGAAAGAUUUGCAAUUUCAAGGAAACCAGAACCCUCCAAUGAAUCAAAUGCAUCUCCCCCAACGUCCCAUAACUUGGUCUCUCCUUCUGUGUAUAGUUGACUCCUCCUUGAUAAGAGACGAAUAUUGGAGUGCACAAAAACCAAAUCCUCGCACCGUUGUGGUGUCAUUUUAUUCCUCCUCAUAGAGUGAAUGAAAGAGUAGGUGCUCCAAUUCCUUUCACAACAUGAUGAGGAACAUGGUUGGCUAAGUAAUUUCACUGCCAAAGAUUGGAGCGUAGGUGCAGAAGAGCCAUGUGCCAACCACCAAACCACUGGUUCCAUUACGCCUCUAUCACAUAUUGAGUCAGAGUCACCAAAACUUUCUAAACAACCUGAAAACUUCGCAUACUCUGUAUUAACAACUCUUCUCUCAUCUGAAUCAGGAAAGUAUCUCUUAAAACACUUGAUUCUCAUCUCAGAAAUUUCAACAUCUUUGUGAGGAGGAACACGAAUGGGAUUUUCAUGAAGCCACAUCCCACUAUAAUACCUAGAUUUCAUAAUUAGAAAAAAAUAAUAAGUAAAUUAUGCAAUGAAAAAAAUUAAAGUAUAAACUAUGACUCUAAUGUGAAUUAUACCUUGGAUUCAAAGAAUGAGCAAGGCAAUGAAGAGGUGUGCUACUUUUUGUCCACCUUUCCACUAAUAUUUGAUGCACUAUAGAGUAAAAGGAUGACUCUUCAUUUUCUGACUUCCCUUCACGUCUAUAGAUGGAUGCCUUCACCCGUUCAAUCAUUGAAUCCCACAUCUCAUAAACCAAAUGUAGACAUGGCUUAUCUGUGUCACAAAAUCUGAGCAUCUCAUAAAUUGGCAAUGUGAAUGAGAGUAUAUAUUCAAUCUUAUCCCACCAAACAUCAUUCAACAACUUUUCCUUUACAACACUUGCUUUCCCAACAUCAUCUUCCUUGUAAGAAGCCCAUUUGUCACUUAUCACCAUUGUUUGGAGACCAUGAUAUAUAAGUUUAAACCUUUUUAACAUAACAAUUGCAGAUGCAAAGCGUGUAUCUGCAACAGAAAGUAGCUUCAAAGGUACAAACUCAUUAAAAAUAGCUAAUCUCAUAGAAUGAUUCAUGACGAAAUGUUUCACAAACAUUACAUCAUCAAUCACAGUAGUGAUCCAAUGGCACUCAUCAUAAGCAUAUGCAGCAACUCCAAUUUCCUUCGCAGCACAAAUGUUCUUAAGAGCAAGAUUAAGAGUGUGCACUACACAAGGUGUCCAAAAGAUCUUCGGAUAAUUACCUUGAAUAAUUGAUCCAGCUGCACUACAAACUGGAGCAUUAUCAGUAAUUACCUGAAUUACAUUAUUAGGACCCACUUCAUCAAUCACUUCACUAAUUAAUUUGGCAAUAUGAUACUUGUCCUUGGUCUCACCCUCACAAUUAACAGCUUUUAUAAACAUAGCUCCACCAUUACAUGCUGCCAUAAAAUUAAUGAGAGGCCUCCUCUGUGCAUCAGUCCAUCCAUCAGAUACUAUACUCAACCCCUUCUCAUCCCAUGAUUUUUUAGUUGGUUCCAAUAACCUUUCAAUAUUUGCCCUUUCUUUUUGAAGUAAGGUAGUCCUCAACAAAUUAUAUCCAGGAGGGACAUACCCAACAAUUUGAUUCUCAGCAGCAUAUUGAAAAGCAUCCACAAAGUAUGGAUUCCUAGCCAAAUGGAAAGGCAAACCGGCUGAAUAGAACAUACGAGCAAUUAAAGAAUGUGGCUGAUAUGCAGUGCAGGGGACGAAUUGAAAAUAGAUGCUUGCUGAUCAGUGAUCUCUGUAUAAAA